rnacentral:rRNA from 1 species
ACGGGAGAGUAACACGUGGGAACGUACCCUUCAGUUCGGAACAACCCAGGGAAACUUGGGCUAAUACCGAAUACGUCCGUAAGGAGAAAGAUUUAUCGCUGAAGGAUCGGCCCGCGUCUGAUUAGCUUGUUGGUGAGGUAACGGCUCACCAAGGCGACGAUCAGUAGCUGGUCUGAGAGGAUGAUCAGCCUCACUGGGACUGAGACACGGCCCAGACUCCUACGGGAGGCAGCAGUGGGGAAUAUUGGACAAUGGGCGCAAGCCUGAUCCAGCCAUGCCGCGUGGGUGAUGAAGGCCCUAGGGUUGUAAAGCCCUUUCGGCGGGGAAGAUAAUGACGGUACCCGCAGAAGAAGCCCCGGCUAACUUCGUGCCAGCAGCCGCGG